GUGGGGAAUCUUGCGCAAUGGGCGAAAGCCUGACGCAGCCAUGCCGCGUGAAUGAUGAAGGUCUUAGGAUUGUAAAAUUCUUUCACCGGGGACGAUAAUGACGGUACCCGGAGAAGAAGCUCCGGCUAACUUCGUGCCAGCAGCCGCGGUAAUACGAAGGGGGCUAGCGUUGCUCGGAAUUACUGGGCGUAAAGGGCGCGUAGGCGGACAGCUUAGUCAGAGGUGAAAGCCCAGGGCUCAACCUUGGAAUUUCCUUGGAUACUGGCUGUCUUGAGUUUGGGAGAGGUGAGUGGAACUCCGAGUGUAGAGGUGAAAUUCGUAGAUAUUCGGAAGAACACCAGUGGCGAAGGCGACUCACUGGCCCAAUACUGACGCUGAGGCGCGAAAGCGUGGGGAGCAAACAGGAUUAGAUACCCGGGUAGUCC
rnacentral:rRNA from 1 species